rnacentral:rRNA from 1 species
UUGCCGGCGUGGCCGCGUGGGGGUGACCGCUGGCCGCUGGCGGGUGGCCGGCUAGACGCUCCAAUCCGGCCUCUGCUGUGGAGAACAUCAGGCAACAUCGGCGCCAUGUAGUGCCUCGUGAGAUUGUGAGAGGGAGGCGUGAUGCUUAAGGGGAAAAAGAUUGAUGCAUUUUUCAAAAGAAAGAGAGGUGAUUCAGUUGAUGAACCAACAGCAACCGAAGCAAUGCCUAUUCAGCCAACGGACUGUGUUCAACCUCCUCUGUUGUUGCUCGAAUUUGAGCAACACGGACCACAUCCUUCAAUGCCUCAACACCAAGGACAAAGCCAUCAAACUCAAACAAAUGAAGUACUAUUUCAAGGGAUUGAAUUCUUGCAGCGAGAUCCAGCACUACGUCCACAGAUUUGGCAAUAUCCACCUAAUCAAAGAGAUGAUGUGCGGCGAGCAUAUUUGAAGCUUGGUAUUAUGCAGCCCCGUUUGCAGAAUUACAAAGCCUAUGGUCCAGAAGGUCGCAAACGAUGCUUUAAGUAUGACUGGUUCAAGGAUUUCCCAUCAUGGUUGGAGUACUCGGAGGACAGUCAUCGUGCAUAUUGCUUCUAUUGUUUCUUGUUCGGCAAAAACAAAAACAAGAGAGAUGGUUCAGAUGUCUUUACAGUGCGAGGAUUUGUAAACUGGAAGAAGGUCCAUGAUGGAAAGAAAUGUGCUUUCUUAAACCACAUAGGUUCUGAACCUUGCUCUGAACAUAAUAAUGCAACCAAAGCAUGCCAUGACUUCUUGAAUCAGCAAGGCCAUUUAGAAAAUGUUGUAGCAGUGGGCAACUAGUGGGAUAUAGAAAGAAACCAACUGAGGGUGAAAGUAUCAAUUGCAGCAGUUAAGUGGCUUACAACACAAUCGUGUGCAUUUAGAGGCCAUGAUGAAACUCCAGACUCAAAGAACAGAGGGAACUUUAUUGAAUUGUUAAAGCUCCUUGCAGAAUUCAAUCCAGAGAUUGCCGAAGUUAUUUUGGAGAAUGCUCCAUACAGUUCAAAGUACACAUCACAUGAAAUCCAACAGGAGAUUUUGGGUAUUUAUGCAUUGAAAGUUAGGAAACAUAUCCGUGAAGAGAUUGGGGAUUCUAAGUUUUCUAUUCUAGUGGACGAGACAUGUGAUGUAGCAAAAAGAGAGCAGAUGGCAUUGGUCCUCAGAUUUGUUGAUGAAGAUCGUAUAUUGCAAGAGCGGUUCUUUGCCUUGAUACAUGUGACGAACACCAAAGCCGCAACACUUAAAGAGGUAUUGAGUUCUGUGGUAUCCAAACAUGCUUUUGAUGUUCAGAACCUUCGUGGGCAGGGAUACGAUGGGGCUAGUAAUAUGAGGGGGGAGCUCAAUGGCUUGCAAGCUCUUUUUCUUAGAGAAUGCCCGUAUGCAUAUUAUGUCCACUGCUAUGCUCAUCGCUUGCAACUUGCGCUAGUGUCUGCUUCGAAGGAAGUGGUCACUGGUGCUCAAUUCUUUCAGAAACUUCUUUUUAUUGUAAACACCGUUGACUCCUCUGCAAAGCGCCAUGAUGAGCUUCGUGAUGCCCAGUUGGAGGAACUAGCUCGGUUACUAGCUAUUGAUGACAUUGAAACUGGUAAAGGGGCAAACCAGAUCUGCACACUAAAACGACUUGGAGACACUAGAUGGGGGUCUCACUUAGGUUCUAUAUCCAGCCUAAAGAAUAUGUUUAAUGCAGUACAUUCAGUACUUCAAAAUAUAGCAUCUGAUGGGUCAGCUGGCUCAAUUCGUGCAGAUGGAGACACUGCUUUCAACUACUUAUCUUCUUUUGAGUUCAUAUUUGUCUUAUGUCUGAUGGAAGAAGCAUUGGAGAUAACUGAAGAUCUUGGUCAAGCUUUGCAAAAUAAAUCACAGGACAUAGUAAAUGCCAUGCGUCUAGUGUUCACAACAAAGGUUCGUCUUGAUGAAAUGAGAUCAGAUGAUGGUUGGGAGGCCUUCUUUGAUAGGGUUGUCGAGUUCUGUGUAAAUCAUUCCAUUGAUAUUCCAGAUUUGGGAGAAACUUACAUUCUGCGUGGUGGUCGAGCUCGUCGCCAACCAGAUCAUUUUACUAAGGAGCACUAUUUCCGGGUGGAAGUAUUUCGUGCAACACUUGAUACUCAACUACAUGAAUUAGAAUUCAGGUUCAAUGACAAGGUACUGGAUCUAUUGACCACUAGUGCUACCCUGAUCCCUAAAAAUAAAUUCAGAUCUUUCAAAGCUGAUGAUAUUUGUGAGUUAGUCAAGAAAUAUUAUCCAGCAGAUUUCACCCAACAAGAAAUCUAUGGAUUGGAGCAGCAACUAAAACACUUUGUUGUGGAUGCCUCCAAUGAUAAAGAUUUGAAAAAUGUGUCAACCUUAACAAAUCUUUGUCGAUAUCUCUUUGAGACGGGAAGACAUUCUAUCUACAAUUUGGUUGAUCGAUUGUUGCGAUUGCUUCUAACUCUUCCAGUUUCUACAGCAAGUGCCGAGCGAGCAUUCUCAACUUUGAAGAUCAUUAAGACAAGGCUACGUAAUACCAUGGAAGAUGAUUAUCUAGCCAAUAGCUUGCUAGUAAAAAUAGAGAGUGAAAUCACGAAGAAGUACAGUUAUGAAGAUGUUCUUGUGCACUUUAAGGGUGCAAAGAAACGGAAAGCUAAUCUGUAGUGCAGUGUUGCUGUAGUGAACCGAAUGCUCCAUGGUUAAAUGGUAUUUUGGUAUAGUUCCUUUUGUUAUGGAGUAGGUUAUAUAUAU